CCAAAGGCUCUUUUCAGAGCCACCCACUUUCUUCUCUGAAAGGGCU
rfam:Opisthocomus hoazin contig1728, whole genome shotgun sequence.